GAUGAACGCUGGCGGCGUGCCUAAUACAUGCAAGUCGAGCGAACGGACGAGAAGCUUGCUUCUCUGAUGUUAGCGGCGGACGGGUGAGUAACACGUGGAUAACCUACCUAUAAGACUGGGAUAACUUCGGGAAACCGGAGCUAAUACCGGAUGAUAUUUUGAACCGCAUGGUUCAAAAGUGAAAGACGGUCUUGCUGUCACUUAUAGAUGGAUCCGCGCUGCAUUAGCUAGUUGGUAAGGUAAUGGCUUACCAAGGCAACGAUGCAUAGCCGACCUGAGAGGGUGAUCGGCCACACUGGAACUGAGCCACGGUCCAGACUCCUACGGGAGGCAGCAGUAGGGAAUCUUCCGCAAUGGGCGAAAGCCUGACGGAGCAACGCCGCGUGAGUGAUGAAGGUCUUCGGAUCGUAAAACUCUGUUAUUAGGGAAGAACAUAUGUGUAAGUAACUGUGCACAUCUUGACGGUACCUAAUCAGAAAGCCACGGCUAACUACGUG
rnacentral:rRNA from 1 species